GGAUCUGUAGCUCAGCUGGUAGAGCAGUUGACUCUUAAUCAUCUGGUCGGGGGUUCGAGCCCCCCCGGAUCCA
rnacentral:tRNA from 1 species